UAGGUGGGAGGCUUUGAAGUUGGAACGCUAGUUCCAAUGGAGCCGUCCUUGAAAUACCACCCUGGUAAUGUUGAGGUUCUAACUCUGUCCCGUUAUCCGGGACGAGGACCGUGUCUGGUGGGUAGUUUGACUGGGGCGGUCUCCUCCUAAAGAGUAACGGAGGAGUACGAAGGUGCGCUCAGCGUGGUCGGAAAUCACGCGUAGAGUAUAAAGGCAAAAGCGCGCUUAACUGCGAGACCCACAAGUCGAGCAGGUACGAAAGUAGGUCUUAGUGAUCCGGUGGUUCUGUAUGGAAGGGCCAUCGCUCAACGGAUAAAAGGUACUCUGGGGAUAACAGGCUGAUACCGCCCAAGAGUUCAUAUCGACGGCGGUGUUUGGCACCUCGAUGUCGGCUCAUCUCAUCCUGGGGCUGAAGCAGGUCCCAAGGGUAUGGCUGUUCGCCAUUUAAAGAGGUACGCGAGCUGGGUUUAGAACGUCGUGAGACAGUUCGGUCCCUAUCUACCGUGGGCGCUGGAAAUUUGAGAGGAUCUGCUCCUAGUACGAGAGGACCAGAGUGGACGAACCUCUGGUGUACCGGUUGUGACGCCAGUCGCAUCGCCGGGUAGCUAUGUUCGGAAGGGAUAACCGCUGAAAGCAUCUAAGCGGGAAGCCUACCUCAAGAUAAGAUUUCCCUAGGAAUUUAUUCCUCUAAAGAGCCGUUCGAGACUAGGACGUUGAUAGGUUGGAUGUGGAAGCAUAGUGAUAUGUGAAGCUGACCAAUACUAAUUGCUCGUGAGGCUUGACUAUACAACACCCAAGCAGUUG
rnacentral:rRNA from 1 species